rnacentral:rRNA from 1 species
UACAGAGGGUGCGAGCGUUGAUCGGAAUUACUGGGCGUAAAGCGCGCGUAGGCGGUUUGUUAAGUCGGAUGUGAAAUCCCCGGGCUCAACCUGGGAAUUGCAUUCGAUACUGGCAAGCUAGAGUAUGGGAGAGGAAGGUAGAAUUCCAGGUGUAGCGGUGAAACGCGUAGAGAUCUGGAGGAAUACCGAUGGCGAAGGCAGCCUUCUGGCCUAAUACUGACGCUGAGGUGCGAAAGCAUGGGGAGCAAACAGG